rnacentral:rRNA from 1 species
UACGAAGGGGGCUAGCGUAGUUCGGAAUUACUGGGGGUAAAGCGCACGUAGGCGGCCUUGUAAGUUGGGGGUGAAAUCCCGGGGCUCAACCUCGGAAUUGCCUUCAAGACUGCUGGGCUCGAGUUCGGGAGAGGUGAGUGGAAUUCCAAGUGUAGAGGUGAAAUUCGUAGAGAUUGGGAAGAACACCAGUGGCGAAGGCGGCUCACUGGCCCGUAACUGACGCUGAGGUGCGAAAGCGUGGGGAGCAAACAGG